AGUGAACGCUGGCGGUAGGCCUAACACAUGCAAGUCGAGCGGCAGCACAGUAAGCGCUUGCUCUUACGGGUGGCGGGGGGCGGACGGGUGACGAAUACAUCGGCAUCUACUUUUUCGGGGGGGAUAACGUAGGGCAACUUACGCUACUACCUCAUACGACCUACGGGUGAAUGCAGGGGAGCUUCGGACCUUGCCCUAUUUCAAGAGCCGAUGUCGGAUUAGCUAGUUGGCGGGGUAAAGGCCCACCAAGGCGACGAUCCGUAGCUGGUCUGAGAGGAUGAUCAGCCACACUGGAACUGAGACACGGUCCAGCCUCCUACGGGAGGCAGAAGUGGGGAAUAUUGGACAAUGGGCGAAAGCCUGAUCCAGCAAUACGGCGUGGGUGAAGAAGGCCUUCGGGUUGUAAAGCCCUUUUGUUGGGAAAGAAAAGCAGCAGGUUAAUACCCCGCUGUUCUGACGGUACCCAAAGAAUAAGCAACGGCUAACUUCGUG
rnacentral:rRNA from 1 species